rnacentral:rRNA from 1 species
GACGAACGCUGGCGGCGUGCCUAAUACAUGCAAGUCGAACGCAGUGGGGACGGGUGAGUAACACGUGGGUAACCUGCCCAGCAGAGGGGAUAACACUUGGAAACAGGUGCUAAACCGAUAUUGAUGGAUGGACCCGCGGUGCAUUAGCUAGUUGGUGAGGUAACGGCUCACCAAGGCCACGAUGCAUAGCCGACCUGAGAGGGUGAUGAGCCGCAUAGGGACUGAAACAUGGCCCAGGUUCAUGAGGGAGGCAGCAGUAUGGAAUCUCCGGCAAUGGCCGACACUCUGACCGAGCAACGCCACUUGAGUGCAGAAGGUCUUCGGACCGUAAACCUCUGUUGUGAGAGAAGCGGUAUCUAACCAGAAAGCUACGGCUAACUACGGGCCAGCAGCCGCGGUAAUUC